rnacentral:lncRNA from 1 species
AAAAAAAUAGGUUGCCGAUUAUAUCCCUUUUGUUGGAUGGUAACCGGAUUUUGAUUCUAUGGUUAAUGUACAUUGAUGAACUGUGUUUAGCCCAUUUGGCUAUGUUCAAUCAUUUUUUAAAAAAGGUUUCGGAUUAUAUGCAUUGUGUUGGAUUGUAAUCGGAUUUUGAAUUUAUGAUUAAUGUAUUUUGAUGAACUUAUUUUAGCCGAUUAUAUCCAUUGUGUUGGAUGGUAACCGGAUUUUGAAUUUAUGAUAAAUGUAUAUUGAUGAACUGUGUUUAGCCCAUUUGGCUAUGUUCAAUCAUAAAAGAAUAGGUUGCCGAUUAUAUCCAUUGUGUUUGAUGGUAACCGGAUUUUGAAUUUAACAUUAAUGUAUAUUGAGGAACUGUGUUUAGCCCAUUUGACUCUGUUCUAUCAUUAACAAAAUGGUUGCCGAUUAUAUAAUUUGUGUUUGGUGGUAAACGGAUGGUUGCCGAUUAUAUACUUUGUGUUGGGAUGGUAAUCGGAUUUUUUAAUUUAUGAUUAAUGUAUAUUGAUGAACUGUGUUUGCCCAUUUGGCUAUGUUCUAUCAUAAAAGAGAGAGUUGCUCAUUAUAUUCAUUGUGUUGUAUGGUCAUUAGAUUUUGAAUUCAUGACUAAUGUAUAUUGAUGAACUUAUUUUAGCCCAUUUGUUAAAUGAUUGACCAUUUCAGUCUUAUUGUCUGAAUGCCCACUAUAGACAUUGUGUAUGCUGGUGACAUGAUUUCGAAUUGAUGUGCUGCCAAAUUGCAAAUUUGUCAUAUUUUCCUUUCUAUCUCAAAGUUUAUAACGGGCUAGAGACAAAAUUUACAUAUAUUAAUAUACUUUUUGCCAAAUUUUCAAGUAUACAAUUGAAUAUUUCUAGACAACGUCAAAAACCCAAGAAGUUCCGCAACACAGUCCAGAUGGUACAGCCACACCGCAACGCUACCCAGCCGUUUCAGCCCCGCAACCGGUUAAUCUGAACCCGCAACAACUUGUGGCUGUGGUGAGCCUUGUUGCAGAAUACCAUUGUUCCGUGUUUGCGCAGCGAAGGGGCAUUUUGGCUGAUGAUUCGCUGCACUGUCAGACAGUGUUGAAUAAAAUGGUGAGUUGGCUCCGAUGUAGAUCAUUUAUAACGACUUGGGAGACCACGUUUCAGCAAAUGUUUAAAUUACGAUGGUUAAUGGCGAAUUCAUAGAGUAAACAGUAUUGUUACGCUCAGAUCACAUUAAUAACAGUCAAGGUCAGAGUUUUCUUGUUACUGAAGCAGACUGAUAGCUAAAAUUUAAGUCAAAGGCUCCGGCCAAAAGAUAGAUUCAUUGCCGGUCCUUAAUGUACAUGAGUAUCUAUAUAUACCGUGCGCAAGAAAAUGUUAUGACUAGUUUUCAAGGUAUUUGUACCAAAUUUGCUUGUGUAUACGAACAUAGCUGUACGCGUUGUCAUGGGAAGCACUCUAGGAAGUAUUUAUUUAUUUUUCAGAAUCACUAGUAGCUACCAAUCAAUAUCGUUCUAGGUACUCGUCACUUGGACCUCGUGGAAUCUUCAGAUAGCCAAAACCGGCAUCUCAAAGAGGGUCACUUAAACCUCCAUUCCCUCACCAAAACCCUUAUUGACUUAGCAGUAUUACAAGUCUAUCUUUCUUUAUAUCCAAAUAAAUAAGUGGCAGCUGAAUUUUUAGAGGGUUCUAACAAAGGGUUUCGAUUACAAAACCAGCGCCCUAGAGUCCAAACUUCAGUCAAACUUUAAUUUCCGUUAGGCAAAACUCUGCUGUAGCUAAUGAGAAAGUUACUAGUAUGUAGGAAGAGCAGUUAAGCAGAAUUGCGGAUUAUACACCAUCUUUCCUUUCCGAAGGGAACCCCGCAGGGUUCAAGUUUGAAUGAUUUUAUUGAUACGUCUUCUUCCUCAGUUCAGUACACUUCUUUAGACAGAGUGACGGAGCUAUUGUUUCAUUAGUGCAAUAUUGCGAAAUGGCUAAAGUUGGCAUCAAAUUUGCUUUUUCGCCUUUUGAGGUUCAUAAUUAUGAUUUUGAAAUUAUUAGCCUUCAAAUUAGGAGGGGAUUAUUUUACUAACAAGACGUUACCUAUGAGUGUGCAAUCUUUUGCUGCCAUUGGGAAAAGUUUGCUAAUUUAUUACAAUAGCUGGUCCGGUACAAGAGGAAAUCCGAAAGGCUGUUUUAUUACUUGGAUAAUUAUGUUUGUUUGGCUCGCUCUAAUUCAGGGAAUGUGUGACCAAUUUGUUCUGUUUUAUAGAUAAAUGCCUUAACAUACCCGUAGCCAAAAAAAAAAAAAAAAAAAAAAAAAAUUGCAAGCCUAAGUUGAUCUUUUAAUUUCUGUAACAGAGCCAUUCCCUUUCUAGACUAUUUAGUAGUGGUUUCUAUGCGAUCGUGUCAGCUUUACUUGCGACUUGCACCUUACUGCACUUUUAGCCCAUCUUUUAAUCAAGAAUGUAGCUCGUCAUACAACAUGUCUGUAUAUUUCGGACAUUUCUUCUAUUGUAAAAUAAAUAGUCUUGAAUAUCUUACUUAAAGAUUUAUGUUACGUUGAAUGCUUAUCAGUUUUGAUAGGUUGCAUCGGACAAUUGACAUCAGGCAACCUAUAACGCUUGAUUUACUUCGUAAACUUAUACAGGUGACAAAUACUGUUUGCUCUUCUAUAUUUUAGGCAUUACAGUUUUCAGCAGUAAUUUCCCUGACCAUUUUGAUUUUUAAGGAUAUGUGAGCUUGUACACACGAACUCAAACUCCUCGAAUAUAAGUGCUAAAGGUCACGCAUUAUGUGAGGGAGACGUUAGUAUUGUAAGUAUUGGUGUACUUCGCAUAAUUCUUCAUUCAUCAAAGGACGAUCAGAAAAAAGGCGAAGGAGUAGCUAUUUAUUUACAACCUUACACAUUGUUCUACUUGACCCCUGGAUUUAAUAGAGAGAUAUAUGGUUGUUCGACCAUCUAGUGCUUCAAACUAGUUAUUUGUUUGUUUAUUUAAACGGUCUACCCGUCAUACGCUGUCAGUUUAGUGUGUUCUAAAGAAAUCUUUGACUGCCAUUCCAUAUAAACCACAUUUAUUUAGAAUAGGUGCUGCAACAGCAGCAUGACUGCUUACGAUAUUACAAGAAUGGGGCGUUGCGCCCCGGAUUCAAGUGCACUUAAAUCUUACAUUAGAAUCCUCUCACGUCAGCUGUUGUCACUCAGAUCUUAAGCCUAUAAGCAGUUUCUUUGUACCUGCCAUAUGUUGCCCUUUUUUGUUGACAAUUGUUUUCAGCUUUUCAGUGCGUCCUACCCAUAUUUGGAUAGUUGGAUGUUCAAUUAUAAAGUCGGUAUUUCGUUACGACAAGGAAUCAGCUGAGGGUUCUCAACUUGUAAUGCAGCGUCAUGAUGCGACCAUACUGUGUCAGAGUCAGGAUGGUAUGAAAUGGCGGCAAGUUAAACCAUUAAUCUUACACUUGUUUCCUUUUGAAGACAAUCAAGGUACAUCUUAUGUGUUCAAGUUCAGUCUACACCUUCCUUCCAUUCAGUCGUUACAGCUUCACAUGGAAUAUUGGCAGUUUUCACAUGUUGAUGUAUGGACAUGACAGUGUCUGUUUUCCAGAACUGUGAAAUGUGUAUGUGUCAUAUAUAAACGUUUAACGUAGUCACUGAUUCUGUAUGUCUGUUUUUUGUAUACCUGAUCUCCGUUGAAUUCUGAUCCCAGGUUCGGCGGUUAGGUCAGCCU